rnacentral:rRNA from 1 species
UGGGGAAUAUUGCACAAUGGGCGCAAGCCUGAUGCAGCCAUGCCGCGUGUAUGAAGAAGGCCUUCGGGUUGUAAAGUACUUUCAGUCGGGAGGAAGGUGUCAAGGUUAAUAACCUUGGCAAUUGACGUUACCGACAGAAGAAGCACCGGCUAACCCCGUGCCAGCAGCCGCGGUAAUACGGAGGGUGCAAGCGUUAAUCGGAAUUACUGGGCGUAAAGCGCACGCAGGCGGUUGAUUGAGUCAGAUGUGAAAUCCCCGGGCUUAACCCGGGAAUUGCAUCUGAUACUGGUCAGCUAGAGUCUUGUAGAGGGGGGUAGAAUUCCAUGUGUAGCGGUGAAAUGCGAAGAGAUCUGGAGGAAUACCGGUGGCGAAGGCGGCCCCCUGGACAAAGACUGACGCUCAGGUGCGAAAGCGUGGGGAGCAAACAGG